rnacentral:rRNA from 1 species
GACGAACGCUGGCGGCGUGCUUAACACAUGCAAGUCGAACGCUGAAGCUCAGCUUUUGUUGGGUGGAUGAGUGGCGAACGGGUGAGUAACACGUGAGUAACCUGCCCCCUUCUUUGGGAUAACGCCCGGAAACGGGUGCUAAUACUGGAUAUUCACUGGUCUUCGCAUGGGGGUUGGUGGAAAGGGUUUUUCUGGUGGGGGAUGUGCUCGCGGCCUAUCAGCUUGUUGGUGGGGUGAUGGCCUACCAAGGCUUUGACGGGUAGACGGCCUGAGAGGGUGACCGGUCACAUAGGGACGGAGAUACGGCCUAGACUCCUAAGGGGGGCAGCAGUGGCGAAAAUUGGACAAUGGGCGCAAGACUGAUGCAGCGACGCCGCGUGAGGGAUGGGGGCCUUCGGGUUGUGAACCUCUGUCGGUCAUGGUCAGGCCGCAACAAUGGUUGUGGUGAGGGUAGUGGGUAAAGAAGCGCCGGCUAACUACGUG